rnacentral:rRNA from 1 species
UUAAGCGACUAAGCGUACACGGUGGAUGCCCUGGCAGUCAGAGGCGAUGAAGGACGUGCUAAUCUGCGAAAAGCGUCGGUAAGGUGAUAUGAACCGUUACAGCCGGCGAUGUCCGAAUGGGGAAACCCAGUGUGAUUCGUCACACUAUCGUUAACUGAAUACAUAGGUUAACGAGGCGAACCGGGGGAACUGAAACAUCUAAGUACCCCGAGGAAAAGAAAUCAACCGAGAUUCCCCCAGUAGCGGCGAGCGAACGGGGAGCAGCCCAGAGUCUGAAUCAGCUUGUGUGUUAGUGGAACGGUCUGGAAAGUCCGACGGUACAGGGUGAUAGUCCCGUACACCAAAAUGCACAGGCUGUGAACUCGAAGAGUAGGGCGGGACACGUGGUAUCCUGUCUGAAUAUGGGGGGACCAUCCUCCAAGGCUAAAUACUCCUGACUGACCGAUAGUGAACCAGUACCGUGAGGGAAAGGCGAAAAGAACCCCGGCGAGGGGAGUGAAAAAGAACCUGAAACCGUGUACGUACAAGCAGUGGGAGCACCUUCGGGUGUGACUGCGUACCUUUUGUAUAAUGGGUCAGCGACUUAUAUUCUGUAGCAAGGUUAACCGUAUAGGGGAGCCGCAGGGAAACCGAGUCUUAACUGGGCGUUAAGUUGCAGGGUAUAGACCCGAAACCCGGUGAUCUAGCCAUGGGCAGGUUGAAGGUUGGGUAACACUAACUGGAGGACCGAACCGACUAAUGUUGAAAAAUUAGCGGAUGACUUGUGGCUGGGGGUGAAAGGCCAAUCAAACCGGGAGAUAGCUGGUUCUCCCCGAAAGCUAUUUAGGUAGCGCCUCGUGAAUUCAUCUUCGGGGGUAGAGCACUGUUUCGGCUAGGGGGUCAUCCCGACUUACCAACCCGAUGCAAACUACGAAUACCGAAGAAUGUUAUCACGGGAGACACACGGCGGGUGCUAACGUCCGUCGUGAAGAGGGAAACAACCCAGACCGCCAGCUAAGGUCCCAAAGUCAUGGUUAAGUGGGAAACGAUGUGGGAAGGCACAGACAGCCAGGAUGUUGGCUUAGAAGCAGCCAUCAUUUAAAGAAAGCGUAAUAGCUCACUGGUCGAGUCGGCCUGCGCGGAAGAUGUAACGGGGCUAAACCAUGCACCGAAGCUGCGGCAGCGACACUAUGUGUUGUUGGGUAGGGGAGCGUUCUGUAAGCCUGCGAAGGUGACCUGUGAGGGUUGCUGGAGGUAUCAGAAGUGCGAAUGCUGACAUAAGUAACGAUAAAGCGGGUGAAAAGCCCGCUCGCCGGAAGACCAAGGGUUCCUGUCCAACGUUAAUCGGGGCAGGGUGAGUCGACCCCUAAGGCGAGGCCGAAAGGCGUAGUCGAUGGGAAACAGGUUAAUAUUCCUGUACUUGGUGUUACUGCGAAGGGGGGACGGAGAAGGCUAUGUUAGCCGGGCGACGGUUGUCCCGGUUUAAGCAUGNUACAAGCAGUGGGAGCACCUUCGGGUGUGACUGCGUACCUUUUGUAUAAUGGGUCAGCGACUUAUAUUCUGUAGCAAGGUUAACCGUAUAGGGGAGCCGCAGGGAAACCGAGUCUUAACUGGGCGUUAAGUUGCAGGGUAUAGACCCGAAACCCGGUGAUCUAGCCAUGGGCAGGUUGAAGGUUGGGUAACACUAACUGGAGGACCGAACCGACUAAUGUUGAAAAAUUAGCGGAUGACUUGUGGCUGGGGGUGAAAGGCCAAUCAAACCGGGAGAUAGCUGGUUCUCCCCGAAAGCUAUUUAGGUAGCGCCUCGUGAAUUCAUCUUCGGGGGUAGAGCACUGUUUCGGCUAGGGGGUCAUCCCGACUUACCAACCCGAUGCAAACUACGAAUACCGAAGAAUGUUAUCACGGGAGACACACGGCGGGUGCUAACGUCCGUCGUGAAGAGGGAAACAACCCAGACCGCCAGCUAAGGUCCCAAAGUCAUGGUUAAGUGGGAAACGAUGUGGGAAGGCACAGACAGCCAGGAUGUUGGCUUAGAAGCAGCCAUCAUUUAAAGAAAGCGUAAUAGCUCACUGGUCGAGUCGGCCUGCGCGGAAGAUGUAACGGGGCUAAACCAUGCACCGAAGCUGCGGCAGCGACGCUUAUGCGUUGUUGGGUAGGGGAGCGUUCUGUAAGCCUGCGAAGGUGGCCUGUGAGGGCUGCUGGAGGUAUCAGAAGUGCGAAUGCUGACAUAAGUAACGAUAAAGCGGGUGAAAAGCCCGCUCGCCGGAAGACCAAGGGUUCCUGUCCAACGUUAAUCGGGGCAGGGUGAGUCGACCCCUAAGGCGAGGCCGAAAGGCGUAGUCGAUGGGAAACAGGUUAAUAUUCCUGUACUUGGUGUUACUGCGAAGGGGGGACGGAGAAGGCUAUGUUAGCCGGGCGACGGUUGUCCCGGUUUAAGCAUGUAGGCGGAGGUUCCAGGUAAAUCCGGUACCUUUUAACGCUGAGGUGUGAUGACGAGGCACUACGGUGCUGAAGUAACAAAUGCCCUGCUUCCAGGAAAAGCCUCUAAGCAUCAGGUAACAUCAAAUCGUACCCCAAACCGACACAGGUGGUCAGGUAGAGAAUACCAAGGCGCUUGAGAGAACUCGGGUGAAGGAACUAGGCAAAAUGGUGCCGUAACUUCGGGAGAAGGCACGCUGGUGUGUAGGUGAAGUCCCUGCGGAUGGAGCUGAGACCAGUCGAAGAUACCAGCUGGCUGCAACUGUUUAUUAAAAACACAGCACUGUGCAAACACGAAAGUGGACGUAUACGGUGUGACGCCUGCCCGGUGCCGGAAGGUUAAUUGAUGGGGUUAUCCGUAAGGAGAAGCUCUUGAUCGAAGCCCCGGUAAACGGCGGCCGUAACUAUAACGGUCCUAAGGUAGCGAAAUUCCUUGUCGGGUAAGUUCCGACCUGCACGAAUGGCGUAAUGAUGGCCAGGCUGUCUCCACCCGAGACUCAGUGAAAUUGAACUCGCUGUGAAGAUGCAGUGUACCCGCGGCAAGACGGAAAGACCCCGUGAACCUUUACUAUAGCUUGACACUGAACAUUGAGCCUUGAUGUGUAGGAUAGGUGGGAGGCUUUGAAGCGUGGACGCCAGUCUGCGUGGAGCCAACCUUGAAAUACCACCCUUUAAUGUUUGAUGUUCUAACGUUGGCCCCUGACCGGGGUUGCGGACAGUGUCUGGUGGGUAGUUUGACUGGGGCGGUCUCCUCCCAAAGCGUAACGGAGGAGCACGAAGGUUAGCUAAUCCUGGUCGGACAUCAGGAGGUUAGUGCAAUGGCAUAAGCUAGCUUGACUGCGAGCGUGACGGCGCGAGCAGGUGCGAAAGCAGGUCAUAGUGAUCCGGUGGUUCUGAAUGGAAGGGCCAUCGCUCAACGGAUAAAAGGUACUCCGGGGAUAACAGGCUGAUACCGCCCAAGAGUUCAUAUCGACGGCGGUGUUUGGCACCUCGAUGUCGGCUCAUCACAUCCUGGGGCUGAAGUAGGUCCCAAGGGUAUGGCUGUUCGCCAUUUAAAGUGGUACGCGAGCUGGGUUUAGAACGUCGUGAGACAGUUCGGUCCCUAUCUGCCGUGGGCGCUGGAGAAUUGAGGGGGGCUGCUCCUAGUACGAGAGGACCGGAGUGGACGCAUCACUGGUGUUCGGGUUGUCAUGCCAAUGGCACUGCCCGGUAGCUAAAUGCGGAAGAGAUAAGUGCUGAAAGCAUCUAAGCACGAAACUUGCCCCGAGAUGAGUUCUCCCUGAGACUUUAAGUCUCCUGAAGGAACGUUAAAGACGAUGACGUUGAUAGGCCGGGUGUGUAAGCGCAGCGAUGCGUUGAGCUAACCGGUACUAAUGAACCGUGAGGCUUAACCUU